rnacentral:piRNA from 1 species
UAGUAGACAAAGGAACAGAUAAGCACAGU